rnacentral:rRNA from 1 species
AGUACUUCUAUACCAAUAUAGAACUUUUUAUGUUAAAACUAGUAACAAGAAGCUCAACUUCUCUUAUAUAUAAGUGUAAGCCAGCAAGGACCACCCUCUGGCACUCAACAGUCAUAAUGCAUAGUAACAACUUCGCAAGAAAACUUUACUCAACUUACUGUUGACCUAACACAAGAAUAUGCCAAGAAAGAUUAAAAGAAAAAGAAGGAACUCGGCAAACAUUGACCCCGCCUGUUUACCAAAAACAUCGCCUCUUGAAAUUUAUAAGAGGUCCAGCCUGCCCAGUGACUUUGUUCAACGGCCGCGGUACCCUGACCGUGCAAAGGUAGCACAAUCACUUGCCUUUUAAAUAAAGGCUGGUAUGAAAGGCAUCACGAGAGUCUAACUGUCUCCCUAUUCUAAUCAGUGAAACUAAUCCCCCCGUGAAAAAGCAGGGAUUAUAACGCAAGACGAGAAGACCCUAUGGAGCUUUAAACAGAGUAACACCCGCCCCCCCCCCCCCGUAAAUUUCAGAAGACUAACCACUAAAGGCAGGUUGAUUACAAGUUUUUGGUUGGGGCGACCGCGGAGCAUAACCCACCCUCCGCAAUGAAACAGGACAAAACUUUAAACCAAAAGCCACAACUUUAAGAAUCAAUAAAUUGACACUAUUGACCCAAUACUUUGAU